UAAAUUUAAGUCUAAAUUUACAUUAUUAAUAUUCUUAUGAAGUUCUGCUAAUAUGGUAUCAUAAUCUGGUAACAAUAGAAAAUUUGUUAAAUAUUUUUAAUUUUUAAUUAAUGCACAUAAUUUUACGAAUAUCUGGGGACGAGAGCUUUUAUUGGACCAAAACCAAUCGGAUCUCAUGUCCGAAUUAUGUGGUGAUUCUGUGUAACUUUGGCCUGAUUCCACGGGCUUGUUCCCCCGAUCUUUCAAGUGUCUGCCCAAUCAAUUAUCGAUGCUAGGUUAUGCGCCUAUCAUGAUCGUAACGGGUGAUGGAGAAUCAUAGUCCUGUGCUGAAGAGGGAGCUUGAGAAACGGCUACAACAUCCAAGGAAGGCACCACAGGCUUGCAAAAUUAUCCACUCCCAAAAUUAUGAGUUAGUGAA
rnacentral:ncRNA from 1 species